rnacentral:rRNA from 1 species
GGGUUGCUUGUAAAUGCAGCCUUAAGAUAGGUGGUAAACUCCAUCUAAAGCUAAAUACCCCCACGAGACCGAUAGCUAACAAGUACCGCGAGGGAAAGUUGAAAAGGACUCUGAAGAGAGAGUUCAAGAGAGCGUGAAACUACCACGAGCCUAAAGCGAGUGAGCGUUCGUACCCGAAGGGAAAGACGACAAACUGAGCCCCAAGUGCCGUUCUGUGGGGUCGCGAGUCCGCGCCUUAAAUGGAUCUAUCCCGAAGUCGCAGGCCUCAGCGUCUCGGCUUCGUGGGUAGACCGGCGUUCCCUCCUGGGCGGUAUGUAAGGUGCUUGUCUUAUUCCUUAGUACGGCGUCGUGGCCGUUUGAGAGGUGUCGAAGACCCGGGGGUCUGGGAAACCGUAUCUUCUGGGCGUUCCCACUAAAGUCUCUGUUCGGCUACUACGG